rnacentral:tRNA from 1 species
UCCCUGGUGGCUCAGAUGGUAAAGCGUCUGCCUGCAAUGCGGGAGACCCAGGUUUGAUCCCUGGGUUGGGAA